UUGGGUAUUUUGUGUUUCACUACGGACGGGGCCUGCAGUGUGCCUGACUGGACAUUUUGUGUAACUGUAAUUCAUCAUCGAGUCCUGAUUUGGGGAAAUAGAUUUUAUAAUAAACCACGGUGCGUUCUUUUGAAAGUUUGUGAAGUUUGUGAACUCAACGUUUCCCACUAUUUGAAGUAUCCUUCGCAGAGGAUUCAGCGAGAUUCAGCCGACUGGAGAGAGAGCACCUGGGGGCAUUUGGCAGUAGCGUGACCGGGUGAAGAUGCUCUCAGCGUGGAUACACCGCGACCAUACUCCCGCCUGCCUGCUCGGUUUAGCUCUACUCUGCGCAACUUUUGCGACCCAUGCAGAGCACAGAUGCUCUUAUAGAGACUCAAGUCCCCGUCCAGUGCCCUGGCUGAGUGGAAAUGAGAGGGAAAAGACACCGUGAAGGAGGGAAGAGCAGCUGAAGAAGACGAAAGAGAGGCAGGGGACAUCAUUGCUUGUUAUCGUCAUAGCAGACACGGGGGCUCGUCACACUAGUCACUGUAUCUCGACAUCAGAGAAGAAAACAUCCAAGCCCAGGGCUCUGGGCAUGUGACAGGACCAGUCUUUCUUUACCACAGCUCCCAGUAACACUGUCACUAUCUGUCCAUCACUGCAGUGCAGCUGUGAUUUCACACAACCUGCAUUUUAUUGUGCAUCAAUCGGAAGUCUUUCAUUUGACAGGACCCCUGAUAAUGUGCUUUCAAUUAAUAAUGAAAUAUAACAGUUUCAAACAAAAUUGAUCAAACCAUGCUGCCGAAAUAUAGUUUGUCAGAGGAAUUAGAUCAGUCAUGACACAUCAAAUGCUUGAUGGUCUGUGAAGAUUUGGAAGCUGAUUACAGUUCCAGCAUAUUUUUCAUUUAUCAGAGGUUCCCAUAUUUUCCCUCAUAUUUAGUCCUUUGACCUUAAGCAUAAAAUCUAGUCCACACACAGCCAAGAAACACCUGUUUAGACAGGAAGAGACUGUCCGACUUGAGAUUGAUUAAUCGCAUGAUUAAUCGAAAUAAAACCGAAAUCUCUUCAAAUU
ensembl:lncRNA